GCGGGUGUGGUGAAAUUGGUAGACACGCUAGAUUUAGGAUCUAGUGCUUUACGGCUUGGGGGUUCGAGUCCCUUCACCCGCA
rnacentral:tRNA from 1 species